UACGUAGGGUGCAAGCGUUAAUCGGAAUUACUGGGCGUAAAGCGUGCGCAGGCGGUUUUGUAAGUCUGAUGUGAAAUCCCCGGGCUCAACCUGGGAAUUGCAUUGGAGACUGCAAGGCUAGAAUCUGGCAGAGGGGGGUAGAAUUCCACGUGUAGCAGUGAAAUGCGUAGAGAUGUGGAGGAACACCGAUGGCGAAGGCAGCCCCCUGGGUCAAGAUUGACGCUCAUGCACGAAAGCGUGGGGAGCAAACAGGAUUAGAAACCCCCGUAGUCC
rnacentral:rRNA from 1 species